GGAUGAAGAACGUAGCGAAAUGCGAUAAGUAAUGUGAAUUGCAGAAUUCAGUGAAUCAUCGAAUCUUUGAACGCACAUUGCGCCCGCCAGUAUUCUGGCGGGCAUGCCUGUUCGAGCGUCAUUUCAACCCUCAAGCCCUGCUUGGUGUUGGGGAUCGGCGUUGCCUCCUCCGUCGUUCGCGGCGGGGUGAGGUCGCCGCCCCCGAAAUGAAUUGGCGGUCUCGUCGCAGCUUUCCUUUGCGUAGUAACAUACCACCUCGCAACCAGGAGCGCGGCGCGGCCACUGCCGUAAAACGCCCAACUUUUUCAAGAGUUGACCUCGAAUCAGGUAGGAAUACCCGCUGAACUUAAGCAUAUCAAUAAGCGGAGGA
rnacentral:misc_RNA from 1 species